UACGUAGGGGGCAAGCGUUGUCCGGAAUCAUUGGGCGUAAAGAGCGUGUAGGCGGUCCGGUAAGUCGGCUGUGAAAGUCCAGGGCUCAACCCUCGAAUGCCGGUGGAUACUGUCGGGCUAGAGUGCGGAAGAGGCGAGUGGAAUUCCUGGUGUAGCGGUGAAAUGCGCAGAUAUCAGGAGGAACACCUAUUGCGAAGGCAGCUCGCUGGGACGUUACUGACGCUGAGACGCGAAAGCGUGGGGAGCAAACAGG
rnacentral:rRNA from 1 species